rnacentral:rRNA from 1 species
AGAGUUUGAUCAUGGCUCAGAUUGAACGCUGGCGGCAUGCCUUACACAUGCAAGUCGAACGGCAGCAUGAUCUAGCUUGCUAGAUUGAUGGCGAGUGGCGAACGGGUGAGUAAUACAUCGGAACGUGCCCUGUAGUGGGGGAUAACUAGUCGAAAGAUUAGCUAAUACCGCAUACGACCUGAGGGUGAAAGUGGGGGACCGCAAGGCCUCAUGCUAUAGGAGCGGCCGAUGUCUGAUUAGCUAGUUGGUGAGGUAAAGGCUCACCAAGGCGACGAUCAGUAGCUGGUCUGAGAGGACGAUCAGCCACACUGGGACUGAGACACGGCCCAGACUCCUACGGGAGGCAGCAGUGGGGAAUUUUGGACAAUGGGCGAAAGCCUGAUCCAGCAAUGCCGCGUGUGUGAAGAAGGCCUUCGGGUUGUAAAGCACUUUUGUCCGGAAAGAAAUGGCUCUGGUUAAUACCUGGGGUCGAUGACGGUACCGGAAGAAUAAGGACCGGCUAACUACGUGCCAGCAGCCGCGGUAAU